rnacentral:sRNA from 1 species
UAACUAAUGUUUUGCCUUAUCAUUUGCAUAAAAUUUAUAUGAAGCCUCAUCACAAACUUUCUAUGUAACAACUUGGCAGUUGUAAACAUGAAUGGAUGUAUUAGCUCAAGCUCUUCUAUAUGAAAAGACGUUCUUGAUGAUCAACUUCAUCUAUGGUUACCUUGGAAAAAACCUCAACAGUAAACAUAUAUUUGUGCUUCGAAAAUGGAUGUUUAACUUUUGGAAAAAAAAGUUUGAUGAAUAUGUCAUAAAUUUAAAUGUGCCAAUGUCGUUUUGUUGCUUGACUUCUACACAGGCAAGGCGAAUACCCGACCUUAGCAAUUAGAGGUUUAAAGUUGUAUAUCAUAAGCUAGAUUUUUAUUUUCUUGGAGACAAAACAGUUCCCCAAUAUGGUAUUCGAUUACAAUGUUAAAGAAGUAUGAGAUGAUUGUAGGGACAUUCUCUUAAAAGUUCUAUCACUUGUUAUAUUUGAAAGAGGAACUGAUCCAAGGAACAAAUAAUGAUCUUUUUUAAGGUUGUUGUUUGUAUCAAGACGCCAAAAAUUGUUUUACUCGUUAGGACACUCUACCAAAACAACAUAAGGGAAUUUUUUU